rnacentral:lncRNA from 7 species
GAAAGCUACUGUUCACAGCACGCGGUUCGGUGAUGUUGGGGAUAUCCCUGCACCUCAGCAGCGGCAUAUACUCAAGAAACCCUAUAACAACCACCGGCAAACUUUGUGUAGGGUUCUGAACGACUAGCGCUAAUGAAUGAUGACUGUCUCUUCAUCAUUGUCUCUAGAGACCUGCUGGCUGAGGAAGAGGUGGGUGUUCCACACCACUGUGUAUGAAGACAUUCUGGCAGUGUUCCUUUCAGAAAGGUGAACAGCCCAGCAAGGAGCAGAAGGUGCGUUCCUCACACACGGCACAAUGCCCACAGCACAGUAAGGCCUCGUGCCCAGCUCCUCAUGGCACUGCUGGAGGCUUCAGGCCUGCUGCAUUCCCUCCUGGCAGCCUGCGCCCCUCAGCCCAUGCCCACUCACUCAGCUCUGCGGCCCAGGCCGAAGCCAGGUGUGCAGACUGUAUGCAAGGACAAGACGUGGCGCUUAGGGGCCACGUGUGAAGAAGCAGCAGCUCCUUUUCCUGAGGCAGCUGCCACCAGAUGUCGGUAGAACAGUGACAACGAGGAGUGGGGCUUCCUUCAGAGCUGCUCAGAGUGAAUCUGGCCUCAGGACAGGUGGAUGACUGGUGGUCUAUCAGUCAAGUGAUCAGUGGCAAAAGGAGAGGAACAGACCAAACAGUCCCAGGGAGGAAGUUCUUGGAAGGAAACCAGAGAACAGCGUCUUUUCUGGAUAGACAAAGCAGUACAAAGUCAAGAGGUCUCACAGGAACAGAUCCCAGAUUCCUGAAUUCCCAUGCAUUAAAAAAAUGUUACCUC